rnacentral:rRNA from 1 species
GAUGAACGCUGGCGGCGUGCCUAAUACAUGCAAGUCGAGCGAACGGACGAUAAGCUUGUUUUUCUGAUGUUAGCUGCGGACGGGUGCGUAACACGUGGACAACCUACCUCUAAGACUGAGAUAACUUUGAGAAACCGGAGCUAAUACCGAAUAAUAUUUUUAUCCGCAUGGUUCAACAGUAAAAGACGGUCGUUCUGUCACUUAUAGAUGGAUCCGCGCUGCAUUAGCUUGUUGGUAAGGUAACGGCUUACCAAGGCAACGAUGCAUAGCGGACCUGAGAGGGGGAUCGGCCACACUGGAACGGAACCACGGUCCAGACCACUCCGGGAGGCAGCGGUAGGGAAUCUUCCGCAAUGGGCGAAAGCCUGACGGAGCAACGCCGCGUGAGUGAUAAAGAGCUUCGGAUCGUAGAACUCUGUUAUUAGGGAAGAACAUAUGUGUAAGUAACUGUGCACAUCUUGACGGUACCUAAUCAGAAAGCCACGGCUAACUACGUG